rnacentral:rRNA from 1 species
CGGGACGGGUGAGUAAUGCUUGGGAAUCUAGCUUAUGGAGGGGGGUAACUACGGGAAACUGUAGCUAAUACCGCGUAAUAUCGGAAGAUUAAAGUGUGGGACCUUCGGGCCACAUGCCAUAGGAUGAGCCCAAGUGGGAUUAGGUAGUUGGUGAGGUAAAGGCUCACCAAGCCGACGAUCUCUAGCUGGUCUGAGAGGAUGACCAGCCACACUGGGACUGAGACACGGCCCAG